rnacentral:rRNA from 1 species
AUGGAGAUGGAGGAGCAGAAGGAGGCCCCGGGCUUCCUUGAGGUGCCCAAGGACAUCCCCGUCGCCACCAAGCCCCUCACCAUCAGGACCAAUGCCGGGUACGGCAGCAGCUCCGACCGGUCCAACCCCAUCUCGCCGGCCAUCUCCUUCACCUCGCACCUCUACUCGCCGUCGCCGCCGUCCUCCGCCUUCGUGUCGGCGCUGCAGUCCCCGUACAUCUCGCCCCGGGUCCUCGACCCGCCGGAGCCGCCGGCGCAGCAGCCGCACCGGCAGCUGCAUCAAGAAAGCAAGGCCUCCAGCGUCACCACCACCACGGCGCAGUCGCCGGCGUCCUGCUCCAACGGGUCGCAGUCCGAGGACACCGACGCGCCGAGCGCGUCCCGCACGCCGCCGUCCGAGCGGUACGACUCCAGCGGCAUCGACCCGGCCAAGAUUUCAGACGGCGGCGGAGGCGGCUGUGGCGGCGCGCCGCCGCGCGUGUCCUUCUCGUUCCCCGUGCCGCGGGUGUCCUUCACCAGGGGCCCCGUGGCGUCGCCGUCGUCCAACGCCAAGCUCCGGAGCUGCGACGUGUACAUCGGCUACCACAACAACGGCAACCUCGGCAGGUUCUGCAAGUGGCUCAAGGCGGAGCUGGAGCUGCAGGGCAUCGCCUCCUUCGUGGCUGACCGGGCGAAGUACUCCGACGCGCAGAUUCACGAGAUUGCUGACCGGAUUAUUUGCUCCGUGGCAUUCGGCGUCGUUGUGGUCACCAUGUCAAGCUUCCUCAACCCCUUCAGCCUCGAGGAGAUCAGGUUCUUUGCUCAGAAGAAGAACCUCAUCCCUAUACUGUUCGACACCGAGCCGUCGGAGAUUGCCGGGCUGUUUGAUGGCAAAUUGGAGGACAAGGAAGGGAAGGAAGCAUUCGAAGGGCUGAUGCGGUGCCACGAGUUCAAGCUCGAGGCGAAUGAGACCAAUUGGAGAAGCUGCGUGUCAAAGACAGUCGGUCUGCUGCAGUCCAAGCUUGGCAGGAAGAACAUUGCUGAGAAGGAGAGUGAGGGGUCCGGAGGCAUACCCUUCCCACGUAACCGGCAUUUCGUCGGAAGGGAGAAAGAGCUGAGUGAAAUCGAGGGGAUAUUCUUUGGAUCCUCGGUGGAUAUCCAGGAAGUGUUGGACUGCUCAAGGGGCUCCACUACAAAUGAAAGAUCCAGCGGCGUGUCUGACGGCUUUGCCGACGAGGAGAGCGACACGGUGAGGACGUCUAAUGCCAAGUACAUCAGUUUGGAAAUGCGCAAAUGCAAGGAGCCGACAUUGGAGGCCUGGAUCGAUCCGGUGAUCGAGCUGUCGUCGGGGAAAGGUAGAAGCCUUCAGAAGCAGAGAUCAAAGCACAGGAGGUCAAGGUUCCGGUGCAACAGCAAGGGCUGCGGCGGUGCCAGUGUGGUCUGCAUCAAUGGCUCCUCCGGCAUUGGCAAGACAGAGCUGGCAUUGGAGUUUGCUUACCGGUACUCCCAGCGGUACAAGAUGGUGCUGUGGAUUGGGGGGGAGGCUCGGUACAUGAGGCAGAACAUACUCAACUUAUCCAUGAGCUUGGGAUUGGAUAUCAGUGCUGAGGCUGAGAAGGAGAGGGGCAGGAUUAGGAGCUUUGAGGAGCAGGAGAUCGAUGCAUUCCAGAGGGUAAAGCGGGAGCUGUUCCGGGAUGUGCCCUACUUGCUUAUCAUUGACAACCUUGAAAACGAGAGGGAUUGGUGGGAAGGCAAGGACCUCCAUGACUUCAUCCCAAGGAACACCGGAGCGACGAAUGUCAUUAUCACCACGCGGUUGCCACGCGUGAUGAAUCUUGAGCCGAUGCAGCUGCCACAGCUCUCAUACAUUGAUGCGAUGAUCUUGAUGAAGGGUAAGCUUAAGAAUGACUAUCCAGCCGACGAAACAGAAGUACUCAGGAAGCUGGACGAGCGGUUGGGCAGGCUGAGCUUUGGUCUGUCGGUCGUCGGUUCACUGCUCUCCGAGCUCAUGAUCGCUCCUUCCACUCUGUUUGAGGCUGUUGAGAGAAUAUCAUUGAACGAGAACUUGUUCCCCCAUGAUGCCAACGACGACGGCUUCUGCCGUAACAAUUCCUUCCUGAUAAAGGUGCUGGUCUUCUGUUUUGCCUUGAUGGACCGAGCGAAAGGAGGACACCUGACAUCGAAAAUGAUCAUCGCCGGUUCUUGGCUGGCUCCUGCACCCGUGUCGUCUACGCUGUUGGCCGCCACGGCGAGCAAGCUACCGAUGAAAGGCAGCAUUCACCUCUGGGGUGAGUCCCUGAAGACUGCAUUUCUAUGUGGCACACAUUGCUUUCUUGCUCCUAACGGCCGAAAAGCUGAGGUGGAGUCAGCACUCUUGCUUGUUAAGCUCGGGCUGGCAAGAAAGGCGACCCGGCAUCCUGGUUGCUGGAUCCAGUUCCACCCGAUCACGCAGCUCUUCGGCAAGAUCAGGGGAGGCUUGGCGCCGACCACCGCAGCCGUGAACGGGGUGAUGAGGGCCGGCAACCCCUCGUCGUACUCAGACCACCUGUGGGCUAGUGCAUUCCUUGUGUUUGGCUUCAAGUCUGAGCCACCUGCCGUUCAGCUCAAGGCGGUGGACAUGGUGCUCUUCAUAAGGAAGACGGCCCUGCCCCUGGCGAUCGAGUCCUUCAUGACCUUCUCGCGGUGCGGCUCGGCCCUGGAGCUGCUCAAGGUGUGCACCAACAUCCUGGAGGAGGUGGAGAAGUCCUACACGUCGCGGAUGCAGGACUGGAACCGCGGCUCGCUGUCCUGGAGGAAGAAACUGCAGCCGAACCACCGCGUCGACGAGUUCAUCUGGCAGGAGGUGACGCUGCUCAAGGCGACGCUGCUCGAGACGAGGGCAAAGCUCCUGCUCCGAGGCGGGCUGUUCGACACCGGCGAGGAGCUGUGCCGGACCUGCAUCAGCAUCCGGACGGUGAUGCUCGGGCAUGGCGACGCCCAGACGGUGGCCGCUCAGGAGACGCUGGCGAAGCUGGUCAGAUACAGGAGCAAGGUAUGA